rnacentral:tRNA from 1 species
GCACCGUUAGUUUAUCGGUAAAACAUAAGCUUCCCAAGCUUAGGAGGAGGGUUCGACUCCCUUACGGUGCU